rnacentral:rRNA from 1 species
UACGUAGGGUGCGAGCGUUAAUCGGAAUUACUGGGCGUAAAGCGUGCGCAGGCGGUUUUGUAAGUCAGAUGUGAAAGCCCCGGGCUUAACCUGGGAAUGGCAUUUGGGACUGCAAGGCUUGAGUGCGGCAGAGGAGACUGGAAUUCCUGGUGUAGCAGUGAAAUGCGUAGAUAUCAGGAGGAAUACCGAUGGCGAAGGCAGGUCUCUGGGCUGACACUGACGCUCAUGCACGAAAGCCAGGGGAGCAAACGGG